ACACACAUAUAAUGACAGGCUUCUUUCAAUUUCCAGUUACCAAAUCCACUCACAAGGCUUUGGUAGAAGACACUUGCCCAAGGUGUCAUGCUGAAGGACUGAACCCAGAAUCAUGUGGUUGAGAGGCAAACUACUUAUCACAAACCCACACCUGAGCCUAUGCUAUUUAUGUGUAUAUAACAUGAGAUGUAAUGUGUGUAUAAUGUGAUGAAAAAUUAGUAAUUUAUUUCCUACUUCUAUGAUAAAAUCAAAUGCUUGAUGUUUUGUAGUCAGAUGUUUCCAUCCCCUGCAGGGAUCAGAACAAUUGGUUUUCAGCUUUCAGAUAAAGGGGAAGGGUAGGGGUGGGUAAAGAUUCAGGUCACUGUAUAUUUGUCCAGAGAUGUAGCAGUAAAAGUGGAAUAAAACACCCUGCCAUCUUUGAAAUAAUUUCUUGAAACCAGGAACAAAGUAGACCUUUGCUAGGAUAAUGGUGCCAUCAUAAGAAUCAAUUCCAGUAUAUUACUGGUAGUUAUUUUGUCAACAUUUUAUUAGGUGUGAGUGAAAAUGCGAGUCUCUGUCUAGGUACUCCAAUAUUUCCAUUCACAUCUAGGAGGCUUCAUUGGAAUAUAAAUUGAUACCAGCAUAUGACUGGCAUUUCAGUAAAGUUUGAGCUUCCAAUAUAACGGGUUAAAACCAAAUAAAAUAAAGAAAUUUGUCCAGCUGGCUUCUUGUUUCAAUCAAAAUAGUUUCUGAUAUGGUUGCAAAUAUGUAGGGAAGAAGCAUAUGUUUGUAUGUGUAUUAACGCUUGGUUUUAUGUCAAGUUGUUAUACAUAAAAACAAUUUAACCUGAAAUUGAAGGAUCACUCAAUACUUUUUGUAGAGUUCAGGUUUGUUAUUAAAUUUUUGCAAGGAAAAGGUUGACUAUGAUUUGGAAGUUAUUUCAGCUUGCUUGCCUUUGUCAAACAGUCGAAUAAAAGUAAGCAAGCCAAAACUACUUUGAAGUAAAUGCAAAAGUUUUAAUAAGCACACACAUACGUGUGUGUGUGUGUGUGUGCUUAUUUAAACUUAUUAUUAUUAAAACUUAUUGAAACCCACACGCACAUGUGUGUUUGUUUGCAUGUAUGUAUGUUUAAUUCUGUAUGGAUGAAACAAAAUCAACAUCUAAGUAGUUUUCUUUUUUCAACUCAGAAAUACAUGAAGAAGCUAAAUAUUAUGAAACAUACUGCGAUUCCUGCAGAAGACAAUUCACUCACUCAAAUGAUGAAGACAUAAAUAACUCCAAAUAAUGUUGCAAUAGAAAUCUUUACUAUCUAAAUAUCAUCUCUAUUUAAUCUCUUUCUCCUAUAAUUUACAUCUCUUUUUCAUUUCUAUUUAUUAUGAAAUAUUUGGGUUUUUCUUAAUUUCUUUUGAGAUUAUUCCAAUAUUUAUUUACGAUAUCAAGCUUCAUUUGUCAGUGUGCUAGCAACAAAAAUAUGUGUGAAAUUCCUUUGCAAAACUUUAACUACUAAAUAUAAUUGAAUUAAUGAAAUUUAAUCCAACAGAAAUGUGGAGUGGAAGGAAACACAUUUUGACAAUUUUUGAUGAACAGAAAAACAAACCAAUGAAAAAAUAUAUUGAUUUAUGAAAUUAAUGAAUGAAAUAAAUGAAUAAAUAAAGUAGAUUUUGCUCUAUUUUCUUGAUUGUGGUUAUAUGUAAAUCACUAAAGAUACUCACACAUGCAUACAUAUACAAACACACACACAACAAAACACGAUUUUUGUAUUUCAGAAUAUUAUUGUAUUUCUUCUUUUGAAUUUUUAAUACAUAUACUUAUAUACAUUUACACACACACACGUAUAUACACAUCAUUAUUUAACAUUUGCUUUCCAUGCUGGCAUGGGUUGAACGGUUUGAUAGGAGGUCGUGCACUAGAGGACUAUACAGACUUCUGAGAUAUAAUCAUCAGCAAAGUGUAUAAGUGAUGUGGUGGCUUGUUGUUGGUGGUGGGGCAUCCAACAUUAUAAAGGGUGAGAAUGAAUGGGAGGUCUGAGAGAAAGAGGACAGGAAUGGAGCAAUAGACAGGCAAGAGUGGAGAGAAAUCCUGAAUCCUUAAAGAAGAGGUGUAGGGGUUGGUGGAGAUAGGUCAGAGUGGGGAGAGAUAAGGAUAGAUUGUGAGGAGGUGGAAAAGCUGCGGGGGGGGAGGGGGGAUAAAAUUAGUGAGAGAGAAAUGAGAGUGAGAGUGUAAGAAGAGUGGGUGAAGGUGCUGGAGAGUGGCAUACGUGUAAGGGAAAGAGAAUUCAGUGAAAAAAUCCAAACAGGGGAGGCAGUGGAAAGAGGAUGGUGAGAGAAAAGGGUAUGGAGAAGCAGUAAAUGGGGGCAAUAAGUGCAGUAAGGUCAAAAGAAAGGGCUUAGAGAGUAUUCCAGAGAUAAGAAGAGGUGUUGGAUGGCAGUGAAGGUAACCUGGGAGAGACUGUGCUGGCUGUUCAUUAGCAGGAUGGAGGGGGGGCGACGAGUGAGGAUGAAGUGGCAAUCAUAGAGGUGUUUUGAGUUUAGUGAAAUCAUGUGGCACCUUAGACAGGUGUCUUUGACUAUAGCCCUGGGUUAAGAAAUCCUUGUGAAUGGAUUUGGCAGACAAAAACUGAGAGAGGCUUAUAUAUUUCUCUGUCUCUUUCUCUCUCUCUCUCAAAUGUGAAUGCUUCACACACAGCACACAGCUGUUCUUGCAGAAUCGAAGCCCAUUCCUGAUGCAGUUUUGCCUUCAGAGCAUUGAGUGAAGUAUGAGAUGUGCUCAAGACCCUUGCCUGGGUUCAGAUUGCGGCUUCUUGAGGACCAUACAUCCUUGACUAUGAAGGACAGAAUGUUUUUCUGAAUCCAGGUGUGCCUUGAAAGUGCUCAUUUGCCCAUGGAAGCAGUUCAGCUUCCAGAAUGUUGUUAAUGUAUCACUGGGUGUUAAUUCUAAUACUCGAAAGCACAAAAAUGAGGAGAGACAUUUCAGUGGGUGUCACAGCUGCCCAAACCAUAACUGCUGUGAAUUUUUAUGAGUCUGCCCUUGACAGAGCUUGAUACACUCCAAAGCUUGUCAUUCUGGUGGUUUACUAUCUGUUUGAUGUCAAAUUUCUUUACAUCAGUGAAUCUGACACAGGAUAAGAUGACUUCACUCCAAUCUCAUGGCUUUAUAAACUUGCAUGAGCUCAUGAUGGCAGAUCUUCUUGUAGGGGUGGGUUCUGAGAUCCUCCUUCAGCACUUGAUACAUCGAUAUUGAACUUAUUUUUGCUGUAGUAGCCAGUCUUCUGAUGGAACGAGGAGGAUUUUGCUGUAUCUUUUCUCUGGAAUUUUUGAUAAGCUGAGGGGUCUGCAUACUUCUUUUUUGGCCACGUCCAGGUCAAUCAGUGGUGGACCAGUCUCUUGAGAUUUCUUGAUGAUUUUCCAGACUGUUGUUCGGUUAAUUUAAGCUUUUUUGCCAUAGCUGAAUUACUUUCACCUCCUUUGUGGAAGGUUAUGAUUGUAUUUCGGUCUAUAGCUUUUUUUUUUAAUAAAUCUGAAUUUGUUUAGUCUGAAACAAAAAGAAGACACUAAGCUUUUAUAAUGUUGUAUAAUUUUCAUAUCUUAUCACAUUUGUUGAUAAUUAUUAAAGCUUGAAACUUCAGUUGUCUUAACUUCAGGACAACCUGUAUAUGUGUGUGUGUGCGUGCAUAUGUUUGCAUUUCCUUGUCUUCAUAUUCCUCAAUAGUUAUGAAGACAUUCUAGAAGCAGUGUUGUUUGGUUCCCAUCUCCAUAUAAACAUGUCCAACCAUGUGGAAAUAUUACCUUGUUUGAAAACAAGUGGGGUUGGUGGCAGGAAGGACAUCUGGCUGUAGAAAAUCUGCCUCAAUGAAUCCUGUCUGUCUCAUGCAAGCAUGAAAAAGUGAACAUGAAGAUGAUAAUAUGCAUCAUUUGUGUGUGUGUGUGUGUAAUUUACACAUACAUACAAACAUGUGUAUUAAGCAGACAUUGGAGUUUGAUAAAGUCCUCUUGCAUGGUUGGAUACCGUCAAACUGUCCAACCAUGCCAGUAUAGAAGACAGACACUAAAUGGUGAUGAUUGAAAUAUACAUAUGUACAUACAUACAUACAUACAUACAUACACACACUCACACACACACACACAUACAUACAUACAUACAUAAUGCAUACAUAUAUAUGUAUGUAUUAUAUAUGAGCGUGUGUGUAUUUAUAGACAUACACACAUAUAUACAUAUAUAUUUGUAUUUGAAUAUACAUGUUUUUCCAAGAUAAGCUCAUAGGAGCAAAACAGUAGUAUUCUUUUUAUGAUUGACUCUAAUUUUUUAUCACUUAUGUACAUAGAUAUGUGUGAAUAUGUGUAGUGAGUGUGCGGAGGUGUUUGUAUAGUCUGUUUGUGAGAAUGUGUAUAUAUCUGUGUUGUGUAUGUUUAUGUGUUUGCAUGUAUAAUUUUUUAUUUUCUUAGCUGACUAUGAACGUUACUCAAGGGACUACAGUUUCAUACUAGAGCUGUUAUCAAACUGAAGAAAGCAAUGGUUUCUUACUUACAACAAGAACUAAAAUAUGCUCUUAAAAAAACAUCUAUUUCACAUGAUUGCAACACACAAAUUUGAAAACUGUCUCUCAUAAUUGAAUGUAUAAUUGACAUGGAUUACAUAUGUAUGGGUGUGCUUGUGGAAAGUUUGCUUGCAUAUCUAUUUUGUCUGUGUGUGUAUGUGUGUGUGUGUGUGUGUGUGUGUGUGUGUGUGUGUGUGUGUGUGUUUACAUGUACAAAGCACUUGGCCCUUGAGUCACUUUUGUCACUUUCUGCUGAUUAAAAA
rnacentral:lncRNA from 1 species